rnacentral:rRNA from 1 species
GACGAACGCUGGCGGCGUGCCUAACACAUGCAAGUCAACUUGACUGAAGGAGCAAUCUGACAGUAGAGUGGCGCAAGGGUGCGUAACGCGUAAGUAACUUGCCCCAAGGUAAGGAAUAACGUCGAGAAAUCGGCGCUAAUACCUCAUAAUGCAGCGGAUCCGCAUGGAUAUGUUGUUAAAGGUUUACCGCCUUGGGAUAGGCUUGCGUCUGAUUAGCUAGUUGGUGUGGUAACGGCACACCAAGGCUACGAUCAGUAACUGGUCUGAGAGGAUGAUCAGUCACACUGGAACUGAGACACGGUCCAGACUCCUACGGGAGGCAGCAGUGAGGAAUAUUGGGCAAUGCUCGAAAGAGUGACCCAGCAACGCCGCGUGGAGGAUGAAGGUAUUCUAUAUCGUAAACUCCUGUGAGAGCAGACGAAAGACAGAUUAUUAAUACUGGAUGACUGUAUGCUCA